rnacentral:rRNA from 1 species
GGGUUGUCAUGCCAAUGGCACUGCCCGGUAGCUAAAUGCGGAAGAGAUAAGUGCUGAAAGCAUCUAAGCACGAAACUUGCCCCGAGAUGAGUUCUCCCUGAGACUUUAAGUCUCCUGAAGGAACGUUGAAGACGACGACGUUGAUAGGCCGGGUGUGUAAGCGCAGCGAUGCGUUGAGCUAACCGGUACUAAUGAACCGUGAGGCUUAACCUUACAACGCCGAAGAUGUUCUG